rnacentral:rRNA from 1 species
UACGUAGGUGGCAAGCGUUGUCCGGAAUUAUUGGGCGUAAAGGGCUCGUAGGCGGUUUGUCGCGUCGGGGAGUGAAAACUCAGGGCUCAACCCUGAGCGUGCUUCCGAUACGGGCAGACUAGAGGUAUUCAGGGGAGAACGGAAUUCCUGGUGUAGCGGUGGAAUGCGCAGAUAUCAGGAGGAACACCGGUGGCGAAGGCGGGAUCCUGGGCCAGUACUGACGCUGAGGAGCGAAAGCGUGGGGAGCAAACAGG